rnacentral:rRNA from 1 species
GUAGGGAAUAUUGGACAAUGGGCGAAAGCCUGAUCCAGCCAUGCCGCGUGUGUGAAGAAGGUCUUCGGAUUGUAAAGCACUUUAAGUUGGGAGGAAGGGCAGUAAGUUAAUACCUUGCUGUUUUGACGUUACCGACAGAAUAAGCACCGGCUAACUUCGUGCCAGCAGCCGCGGUAAUACGAAGGGUGCAAGCGUUAAUCGGAAUUACUGGGCGUAAAGCGCGCGUAGGUGGUUUUGUAAGUUGGAGGUGAAAUCCCCGGGCUCAACCUGGGAACUGCCUCCAAAACUGCAUGACUAGAGUACGGUAGAGGGUAGUGGAAUUUCCUGUGUAGCGGUGAAAUGCGUAGAUAUAGGAAGGAACACCAGUGGCGAAGGCGACUACCUGGACUGAUACUGACACUGAGGUGCGAAAGCGUGGGGAGCAAACAGGAUUAGAAACCCUUGUAGUCC